rnacentral:rRNA from 1 species
AGGAUGAACGCUGGCGGCGUGCUUAACACAUGCAAGUCGAACGAUGAAGCAGAGCUUGCUCUGUGGAUUAGUGGCGAACGGGUGAGUAACACGUGAGUAACCUGCCCUUGACUCUGGAAUAAGCGUUGGAAACGACGUCUAAUACCGGAUACGAGCUUCCGCCGCAUGGUGAGGAGCUGGAAAGAAUUUCGGUCAAGGAUGGACUCGCGGCCUAUCAGGUAGUUGGUGAGGUAAUGGCUCACCAAGCCUACGACGGGUAGCCGGCCUGAGAGGGUGACCGGCCACACUGGAACUGAGACACGGUCCAGACUCCUACGGGAGGCAGCAGUGGGGAAUAUUGCACAAUGGGGCGCAAGGCCUGAUGCAGCAACGCCGGCGUGGAGGACGACGGCCUUACGGUCGUUAACCUCGUUUAGUAAGGGAAGAAGGUCUUCGGUC